UUGCAGUGAGAAAUUGGACUGAGGGGAGAGAAAAAACGGGCAAUCACUGUCUUCUUCAGCCACCUGUUUGGUGGAAUGAUACUGUAUGGUUUACAGGCAGUCUCGGGAUAACUAGGUGGCACCCUGAACUGGGCAUUUACUCCACACAGCCGUGGAUCACACCGUAAUGAUGAGGUGAGAUCAGAGCAGAUGCCUGGUGCAGAUAGGGCUCCUUUGAUCCUCUGUAAAGUCUCACUUUUGUCACAGAGCAAAGAAAGCCGAGGCCAGACACUUCCUGAAGGCAAACAAACUGGUGACUUUCCACCCAUCGGCUCCCAGGAGCCUAGGGAAGGCUCAUUUUAUAACAGUGUGCCUGCUGCACACUGGUUUAGGCUGUGCAGGUGUCAGAGCCAUAGUGCAGCGCUGUGGCAGAGCUCAUCUGCCAGGUGUCGAGGAGGGCUGUAUUUCUUUUCUUUGAAUGAAGCCUUUCCCUGCUGGCACGCAAGGCCUCGUGAAGCCCAGCUCAUACCAGUGCUGCAGGCAGUAAUGGUGAAAACUGCAGAGGUGUGUUACAAAGGUGCACAAACCAACAAGUUUUGGCUGGACAGACAGGAGAAGGCCUGAGCAGAGGUAGGUAUUUGCUUACUUCUGGGUGGUAUUUCCAUUUCUCCUUUAAAUAUUUGGUCUUUCUUAACCAUAUCACACUGUUAGAAUUACUAUGCUGAAGCUGUUGUUAACACCUCUCAGCUAAUUACAGGCUUCUCCAACCUGUAUGUAGCGUAGGUUUACCCUCCCCUGUCUCUCCUCAGUUCUCCCAAUACAUGAUUAUUUUAUGUGUGUAUGUGUGUGACGUGGCACCCCCUCCACCAUGCAGAAGCCUCCACACGGUAUCCCCAUGGGGUUUCUUCCCUCAGAAGCUCUAGCAACUUUCUCUCGCUGUUUUUGUACUUCAGCUCUAUUCUUGUUCAAUCUUUUUAUUUUUUAUGAUGUUGCCAAGCAAGGCACUGCAGCACUGAAAGCUCCUCCAGCUCUUGUGUUCCUCUCAGUUGUGACACUUACUCUGUGAGUUUUAAAUACCUGUUUUUGUCUUUACCCCACUGCACUGAGCUUAUUAAACGAUUCCGCUAUCACUGCCGUGUCAAAACAAGUCCUAAAGCUCAUGCAGUGGAAAUCCCUUGGUUCUUUCCUUUCAUAGUAGUCAUUUCAUUUUACAAAAGAAUUCAUUAAAGCAGUAUUUCUGCUUACUGUAUCUAUGUUAACUUCAUCAUUCUUCCCUCUUUCUCUGAUCAGUGCUUUCACAACCUCGUGUGCCGCUGAGGUAACGUGUCCUGUCCGUCCAUCUGCUCUCGUGCUCAAAACCACAUCUGAUGACUGGCUGUGCCAGAACUCCCUAAAUUUCUCUGCUAUUACCUUAAUCAAGUUCUGUAAUGAAGCUCUGGUGGGUAAAUGCCUCAUAUAAAUAUACUUCUGUAUCUUGGGCAAAAUGUUUACAUCCUUACUAGCUGCACAGUUUGCACCAGUAUACUGAGUUUCAUCCCGACUGGGCAAGUAUGAAAAGCAUCCAUUAAGAUCGGGAAGCUACUUGUUGCACAGAUGCUCCUCUGAGCACAGAGAAGACUUUCAGGAAAUGGGAUGAGGUAGGGGUGCAGAGCCCUUACACCUGGAGGGACUCCCUCUCCAGCCAUUGGGUUUUGCCUCAGCCCGGCUGUGAUGUUCAUGCUGGGAACUUCUCAGGUGGUCUCUUAACGCAUGUGCUCUGCUUCAUGCAGUUUUGUUUCCUUCUUGGUGGUGACACAUUUCUUAGAUAAGGUGGGCUGACUUCUAGAUGCACUGUAGAUUAGGGAGCUGCCAAAUUUAAACACUGACCUUUAGCUUUCCUACCGCCUCCACUGAUGCACAAUUCAGUUUCACUCAUAGUGAAAUUAGCAGAAUUACCCUGGGUAAGAACUGAAAACAUUUCCAUCAGUCACGAAUCUAGCAAACUGGCUGAUUUGAUGUUUCACUUGAUGUAUUUUAGAGGAAAAAACAUCACUGCAGCCAAUUUGGAGGCAAUUUGUCAGCCACUCUUGUUUGCUGUAUGAGUUUAAAUUACUAGACAUGUUUGCUGAGGCUCAUAAAUAUUUUUUCCUCACGGUAUGGAAAAUAUACCUCUUAAAAAUAUUAUAACUAAAUGUUUUGAUUUAACGUUUUCUGCUUGAGAGGAAAAGAUAUACUUGGGCUUUAACUAAAUGUGUUUAACCUAGUUAACAACAGUAUAGCCAGGGAGACUAAGUUAGUGGUGAAGUUAAUAUUUAACUUAUCUGAACCAGAAUAAAGCUCUGGAAAUUAGGCAGUACUUCAGUGCUGUGACAUUUCUACUGUAAAAAUUUGGGUAUGAAUGAUAACUAGAGGUUCGGCUCUGAUUCUAAUAAUACUUAUUAAUAGGUGGCUGCACAAAUCUCUAGGCUGUGACAGCACAGUGAGUCACUAAAGCUUAGUGAAUGUGUGAUGAGUUUAUUGGCUUCAUUGGAUUGAACCCCUGUUAUUUGCUCUUUGACAAUCCUUUCUUCCAAACACCAAUAUUUGUGCAUCAGAGAAGGUCUUCGAGGUCUGUGCAGUCAUUCAUCUGAAGAGUGAUGCUCAACUGGUAUAGCUGGCUCAUUGCCAUUCAUUCCUCCUCGCUGCAUGGCUUUCAAGCAGCCAGUCCCUGAGCACAAGCUGCAGUAAGCCUUGGGGAAGCAGUGCUGUGAAAAAGGGAUAGCAAUGAGCCAAAGAGUCUACUCAGGAGUAACCCAUGAGUUUAAUCAGCUUUAAUGAAUGCACACAGAAAAAAAAAAAAAUACAAUUAAUUCCUAAAUCUUGAAUCUAAAUAACAUCUCAAUUCACUAGACAAGGCAAAAACAAGUAAGUCAUUCAAAUAGGAUAUGUCUAUUUAUUAGAGAGAAAUCUCCAGCAUUGUUUUUGUGGUAGAGCUUGUCACAGAUUGGCUUGUUAAACUUCUUCUGAGCUGUUCUGAUAUCUUCAAUUUUUAUAUUUGUUAACAUUUUUGUAACGCCUUCCUCACAAAAUUAACCCUACGUUUACUCAUCCUCUGAGUUAUUUGUAGUAUUAUAUUAUUUUUUUUUAUUGACUGCUUAAAAAUAAGUAUGACACAUUAUAUUUAAGUAUGGAUUUUAAUAAUAUUUGGGAACAACCCACUGAGCUAAUAGUGGCUCUGCAAUACUUUAUAUCUUGUAGCUAAAAUCCUAAAAUGUCUGGGUCAGACUUUCAUCCCAUUUUUCUUUGGGGUAAAUCUCUCACUGGCAUCACAUGUUACGUCAGCUCUUUACUCAUACUGGGUACAUAAAUCUCAAGGCUGCAGAAGCACUUCUUUUCAUGUUGCAGGAACCUAAAAGCCAUCUCCCUUCCUGCCAGAUACACAGCUGUGCCAUGAAGGCCCACGUCCUGUGAGCUGUGACCCCAUGGGUGUGAUACUUUACGUACCUGGCACCUGGCAGUGAUCCCACAGCAGGGCAUGGUGCUGCACCCACCAGUCUCAGUUGUUUAGAUGACAUAUGAGCAUCUGCCUCGUGCUCUGAUUCCUCAUAUUAUUUAAAACUAAAGUUCCUAGCCUAGAUGUCCAAGGCCUAUAUGGCUUGGCUUGAGAGGCUGGAGGGUUGAAAUUGAUAAUGACAAUCAACCUGAUCUGCUCCUCGGUUUGGACAACAGCUUUCACUGGAACAUCCACUUAAAACACUUUCUGAAUUAUGCUUGCACAGGGGAAGUCAAACUAAUUGAGCAAUCGGAUGUCAAUCCAUGUGGCUGAGACUCCAGCCUUGGGAUCUUCCACGUGUACAACCUGGCUGUAGCUGCAGGGCCCCAUGUGCUGGGAGGGGACUGAUCAGUGGGAGCACCCCAGCCUCACUCUGUGCUGCUUGUGGUGCAACUUCUGCGAAACGCAAGAACCCCUCUUCUUAGACAUGUCUGCUGUGCUUUUAGCAGAGUUGGAUUUUUCUGGUAACGUUAGCAAGCUAACUGUGCGUCAAACUUGGAGAAUAAUUGGCAGCCUAUAAGUGCAAUUUAAAAAUAAAAAAAUAAAUAUUAAACAUAUCUCAUUGCUGUUUUAGAGGACCACAUUAGCUUCAGUGAAGCAUGAAAGAGCAAACAAUAAAGGUGAAAAGCAAGUCAAUGUAUGUAGGUGGUUAAAUGGAAUUAAACAUGUGAUUUUGUGACAGGGGGUAUGGAUAUGAAUCACAAACCAUGCUGCCAUUUUAAAAAUGAAUGGUGCAGUGAAAUAGACCACACUAUCAUUUUAAAUGACAUAAAUGGGGCUUAACCUUGUUUCUUUUUAUCAACAUUGAUUGAUUAUAACUUUUUAAAGAAGUAGUUAAUUGCUGGGAAUGCAUUUUGCUCUGUUUUUCAGAGCACACUGCUGAUGAAGUAUAUGAUGAGUCACCUAAUUGAACAGGGAUGUGUGUCAUUAUAUAAGGAGAAAAACAGAUUAGAAGUACCAACCGAAUGCCAAUGUGUAUUCUGAUUUUGAUUACAAUAAAUAGACUUGGGGAUGUUUUAUUUCAUUAAUGUAAAAUGUAAGCAGGUUGAAAAUUUGCCUAGGCUGAAAGAUUUGGGACAUCAGUUUAAAAAUAAACACACAAACAAGGAAGAAAAAAUAUUCCUGCGUCUACUAGCCCACUGAAAAUCUGAAUGUUCUCUGGUAUUUCUGAAAUGAAAAAGAAUAAAGUUCUCUUUUCUCAACCACUUGCAGAAGCUGAUAUUUCCACAGCACCCACCGAGAAGACUCUUGGAGAGCAAGUGAAGUUGCUAGUACAAUUUCCAGACACUAAAGCCGAGUAUGUUUA